rnacentral:misc_RNA from 1 species
GAUGAAGAACGUAGCGAAAUGCGAUACGUAGUGUGAAUUGCAGAAUUCAGUGAAUCAUCGAAUCUUUGAACGCACAUUGCACCUCUCGGUAUUCCGGGAGGUAUGCCUGUUCGAGCGUCAUUUGUACCCUCAAGCUCUGCUUGGUGUUGGGUGUUUGUUCCGCCUCUGUGUGUGAACUCGCCUCAAAACAAUUGGCAGCCGGCGUACUUGUUUCGGAGCGCAGCACAUUUUGCGAUCCAGAUCAACGUACAGCGGCAUCCAAGAAGCCUUAUUUAACGCUCUUGACCUCGGAUCAGGUAGGGAUACCCGCUGAACUUAAGCAUAUCAAUAAGCGGAG